CCAAACAUUUCCUUCAAAAAAAAAGAAAACAAUCGGCCCCUUUUAAAAUAACCCUAGCCCCUUUUAUUUCCCCACAGUUUUCUCCUCUUUUGGUCCUCUGUUCGGCCAAGUUUGGUGCACUUACCACCACAAUGAAUCAAAAAGAAAGCCUCGAUCCCGAUCGGAUUUGGUUUUAACGAAGGAGAACCCCGACGUCCUACCAAUCAAUCAAGUGAGUCUCCUUCUUAUCCCUUUUUUUUUUUGGAUGUAACGAGAGGACCUCUCCGUCCAACCACUAAAGCUCCAUUGCAAUCGGCGAAUAGCGCCAAAUCUCAAGACCUCGCCCUUUUAUUCCUAAAAUCCCCUUUGAACUUCGACUUCAACGAAGGAAAAUGGGUUCGUCACAUCAAAAACAAACUAAGAUAAAAGAAAUAUCCAAAAAAUAAAUGUAAUAACAAAUCAAAGAAUAGAAUCACCUUCUAACUUUUUGGAUCUUUUUUUUUAUUUCGUAUUCGUAUUGUGUGUUCGUAAGUUUUUUGCAAGUACAUUUGUCGGCUUUUAUAGCCGAAUUUACCGAGUAAAAUCAAAAAAUAAAAUUACAUUUUAUUACUGUUAUUUGCUGUAGAUUCUGUUAUUCUCCUUCUCAUAUGUUCCAUUUGCAAGAAAGGCCGUACACAAGCACGAGCGGGGACACGCACGAGGGGUUGGUGGCGCACGUGUGGUGCUCAUCCAAAUUGCUGGCUGCUGCGUGAGAGGGAGAACCCUUAGAGCUUCUAGAACAAUCACCUGGACCAGUCUUUGGGUCGUGUAUUGAAUGGGCUGGGACUUUGGGUUAUUUAAUUGGGUUUAGGAUUUAUGCAAUUGGGUUUUAAAAAAUGUAUCUGGGCUGGACUGUAUAUAUAUAUUUUGGGUUAAAUAACUUGUAAAUGGACAUUGACUUAUUCUGGGCUGUUCAUUGUUUUUGUUUUUAUUUUUUGGUUUUUGGUUUUGUAUGGGCCCGAGAGAAUUGGGCCUAUUACAGCUGCCCCUCUUUGCUCAUUAUCGUGUAACGAGAAUAGAGCAAAGACUUCAAAUAGACCAAUUUUGUCUGGUUUUGCUGAAUCUUGACUAUAACUUUUGGGAAAUAGGACUGGUGGCUCAAAUCUGCUCCAUUGCCGAUACAUGGAGAUAAGAUUCACCAUCCUCGAUGUACUCCUCCACUGCUUAGGGAAAUAGAUCUUCAAUCUUCAGUCUGCUUCUUUGCUACCUCAGGAAGAUAAG
rnacentral:lncRNA from 1 species